rnacentral:lncRNA from 1 species
CGGCGGCGGGCGGCUGUGAGCGGGGGCUGGUUCCUAGUCCCCGGGAGAAGCCAAGAAGCCUGCCAGGGACGUGCUAGCUGCCUUGCCAAGAGCUAUCCUGGGAGGGAUAUUGAAAGAGCCUCGAGAAGCUCACCUGUGCUUGCUGGCAAUGAGGAACUCUACAGUCACUUUUCCUCUGUGGGGUGAUUGACCAUGGUUCAAGACCAUGCUCCAAGUGCACUUCACAUAGAGAAUGAUGAAUGAUGAGCUGGGAGCAGUAUUUGAAGAUUUUGGGUACACAUGCCAUGAGUCUGCUUCAUUGAAGAGUAGGGAUCAGCAGGAGGAAGAAGGAUAUCUUAAAAGUGAUGUAAAGCUGGGUGUGGUAGUGCAUUCCUGUAAUUCCAGUGACUUGGGAGGCUGAGGCAGGAGGAUCACAAGUUCAAAGCCAGCCUUAGCAACUUAUUGAGACCCUAAGCUACUCAGUGAGA